AAGGCGCGGUUUGCAUCCUUGCAGGCUGUAGGCGCAUGAUGUUACAAGUUAUUGGAAGAAAUCCCUCCAACCUAGGUUGGGACAGAUGAAGGCGGCGCUUAUUGGUGUCCACCAAAACACCAGCAUGGUGUACCAGCUUUGGCUAGAUUAUGCUCGGGAAAACACAGAUCCUGGUGCCGAACAUGAGGACAAGACAGGCCGAAGGAGAAAGUGGAAGGAGGGGAUCUUCUCUCUCAGCCUCAUCCUCCUGGGCCUGGAUGCUGGAGAGUCAUGAGGUGCUUCAGAGUACUCUGGGUGAGGAGGGAAAGAUGGUGCCCACCACAUGGAGGCCAGCCUAGGUCUUGUAUGAAACCCGUGAGCUAGCUGGAAGCAGAGAACCCAGCAGAGGAUUCUGGGAAGGUCCUGGGGGAUGGCAGAGCCAGCAGAGAGAGGGUACGGAUCCACCAGGCAUAGGGUGGAACAGAGCGCUACUGACCACAGUGAACUGGGGCAUGGGCGAUCAAUAAACAUAUAUUAGAUUAAGCUAU
rnacentral:antisense_RNA from 1 species